rfam:Gossypium raimondii chromosome 3, whole genome shotgun sequence.
AAUCCUUGGUGUGGGCUCUUCUGAAUCAACAUCUUGAAAUACUCACAUGCUUCAUGAAGGCUUUCUCCUUCUAACUACUUGAACAUCGAAAUUUCCCUUCUUAGCU